AAUUCAUUUGUUGAAACUUAACAGCCAAUGUGAUAGUAUUAAGAAGCAUAGCCUUUUAAGAGGUGAUGAGGUCAUGAGGGUGGAGCCUUUAUGAAUGGAAUUAAUAACCUUUUAAAGGGACUUAAGGGGGUGAGUUUGCAUCUUCCAUUCCUUCUGCCAUGUGAGAACUCAGCGUUCCUGCCCUCUGGAGGAUACAGCUACAAGGCACUAUCUUGGAAGCACUCAGUAACCCUUAAAUAGACACCGAGGCUCCCAGACCCUUGAGCUUGGACUUCUCAGCCUCCAGAACCAAGGGAAAUACAUUUCUAUUGUUUAUAAAUUACCUGGUCUUUGAUUUUUGUUGUAGCAGUACAAAUAGGCUAAGAGAGAAACAGAAACAUGUCUCUCUCUCCACGAUGGGAGGAUACGACCGAGACAGUAGCUAUAUGCAAACCAGGGAGGGAGGCCCUCCCGAGAACUGGACCAUGCCGGCACCUUGGUCUCAGACUUGCAGUUUCCAGAACAGUGAGAAAAUUAAUUUCUGUUUUUAAGCCACACAGUCUGUGGUAUUUUGUUAUAAUAGCCCUAGCUGACUAAUAAAGUUGCAUAGCUAAUAAAUAUGAAAUGGUGAUAAAAAUAAACUAACAUAUAUUAAGCAAUUACUGUGUCACAAAUUUUGUUAUGAAUACUAUAUUUAUAAUUAUUUCAAUAUUAUGUCAUGUCACAGAGUCAAGGAACUGCACAAGGCCACAUAGCCAGUGAGUCGCAGAGCCAGCACUGGAACUGAGAUCCCUUGAGAGAGUGAUGCUUUUGUUGGGAGGGGAAGUUGCUGAAUGCUGAGGCCCUUCAUCCUGGACCAAGACAAGGAUUCUUCGAGGUCUUCCUACUUGGAGUGGACAUCUGCAGGGCAUGGGCAUCCACAAUGUGGCAUUCUCACCUACAGCUUCAGUGACAUCAAGCCAGCAUGGCUUCUCCCUGCUGCAGGCUGGCAUGACCAAGACAUGCAGGCUCUGGACCCCAAUUACCAUAGAGGAGAAGAAAACCAGGCUAAGAGAUCCCAAGAUGGAAAGUUUACAGGAGGACUCAAGAUGGCACUCUGAGAACAACCCAGGAUUGGAGCUCUCGUUGAAUCCGCAAAUAGGUGAGUCGGAGCUGCAUUUCCAGACUGAUCUUUGUUGCCCACAGAACGGGGAAACUCCCAAGUAUAAAAAAGACACGGG
rnacentral:lncRNA from 1 species